AGGAAGGCAGCAGUGGGGAAUAUUGCACAAUGGGGGAAACCCUGAUGCAGCGACGCCGCGUGGGUGAAGAAGUAUUUCGGUACGUAAAGCCCUAUCAGCAGGGAAGAUAAUGACGGUGCCUGACUAAGAAGCUCCGGCUAAAUACGUGCCAGCAGCCGCGGUAAUACGUAUGGAGCAAGCGUUAUCCGGAUUUACUGGGUGUAAAGGGAGUGCAGGCGGCAGACCAAGUCUGAUGUGAAAACCCGAGGCUCAACCACGGGAUUGCAUUGGAAACUGGUCAGCUAGAGUGUCGGAGAGGUAAGCGGAAUUCCUAGUGUAGCGGUGAAAUGCGUAGAUAUUAGGAGGAGCACCAGUGGCGAAGGCGGCUUACUGGACGAUAACUGACGCUGAGGCUCGAAAGCGUGGGGAGCAAACAGGAUUAGAUACCCUGGUA
rnacentral:rRNA from 1 species